AUAAAUUAAGGGCAAAUCUCCAAAAUAGCACAUUUCUAAGUUUAUAUCACAAAAAUAGCACUUAAAAACUAAAAUGACCAAAAUAGCACAUUUUUAAGUUUAUCCUUUGAAAAUUUUAAUUUUUUUAUUUUUCAAAAUUUGAAAUCUUAUCCCCAAAACCUCAUUUCUCAACUCUAAACCCUAAACUCUAAACCCUAAACCCUAAACCCUAAACCCUAAACCCUAAACCCUAAACUCUAAAUCCUAAACCCUAAACUCUAAAUCUUAAACCCUAAACUCUAAAUUUGUGACUUUUGAUAAAACAUUAAGUGCUAUUUUUGUGACUUUUGACCUUAAGUGCUAGUUUGGAACAAAAACUUAAUUUAUUGCUAUUUUUGUCUUUUUCUCAUAAAUUAAUGGAAAAAUAGUUUUUUUUGGAACAAAAAAUGGUAACAUGUCUCAUUAAUGGACUUAAAAGAUGGUAACUAUUAUCUCGCACGUCUCUGUUAAUGGACAUAUAAAAGAAUAAACCGACCAUGUUUGAGAAUAAAAAGGGCGGGGGGAUCAUCCGUUUUCGAAAUCAGUCAGAAACCCUAAAACUAGUCUCGUCUCUCAUCCGUCGCAUAAACCCUAGGUUCUCUGUGGAAAUAAUAUGGAAUUAUGGAGUGGAAUGAGAAGACUCUUGAGUUCCUUUCUCAAAGAUUUCUGGACACACUCUCUCCGAACCCGGAGGCUCGUCGUGAUGCUGAGAGAUUGCUAUUUGUAGCCGCCAAGCAGUCAAACUACGGCUUAGCCGUCCUCCGUCUGAUUGCGGAGCCCUCAAUUGAUGAGCAGACUCGCCAAGCCGCCGCCUUCAACUUUAAGAAUCAUAUCUGUUCACGGUGGCUUCCUUGUGCUGCUGAUUCUGGUAUCUCACCGAUCAGGGAUUCCGAGAAGGAGCAGAUCAAUACACUCAUCUUCCCCCUUACGCUUUCUUCUUCCCGUCUGAUCCAGACCCAUCUCAAUGAAGCCCUAGCCAUCAUAUGUAAGCACAAUUUGCCUGCUGCUUGGCUUCCUGAGCUUACAUCCAUCCAGCCUUCACAAAGCUGCUCUUGCCGGUCAUUACGCCUCCGUCAAUGGUAUUCUCCGUGUGGCUAAUACUAUUUUCAACAACUUUAGGCAUCAUCAGGAGGGGUUCCUUGAGAUUUUCGCUCCUCUGUUGCAAGAACUUUUCCUCAAAACAGAUUCUUUGAUUAAUUGCUCUGCUGGUGGAUCAGCAGCUAUGCUUACGCCUCUCCUCGAGUCCCAAAGUCUUUGCUGCAGAAUAUUUUUCUACUUGAACUUUCAGGAGUUGCCUGAGUUUUUCAAGGAUCAUAUGAACGAGUGGAUGGGAGUGUUUAACAAGUGUUUAUCUUGCAAUUACCCAUCUUUGGAAAGCACAGCAGAUGGGUUAGAGCUCGUGGAUGAUCUUCGUUGUGCUGUUUGUGACAACAUUAACCUGUACAUGGACAAGUACGAAGAAGAAUUCCAACGAUUCGUGGAGGGUUUUGCAUUAGCGGUUUGUACACUACUCCGAGAGGUUUCAAAGUCUCCCAUCAGGGAUCAACUAGCUACUAGAGCAAUCAAUUUUUUGACCACUGUCAGCACCACAAGUGCGCAUCAUGCUUUGUUUGCAGUUGCAGGCGACAAUGGGAUCAGUGAUAUCUGCCAAAGUAGUGUGAUUCCCAAUCUUUCUUUGAGGGAGAAAGAUAAACAACUGUUCGAGAUGGACUUUAUGGAGUUUAUCCGUCGAGACAUGGAUGGAAAUACUCGGAGGAGAAUCGCUUGUGAGCUGCUCAAAGGACUCGCCACAUAUUACAAACCACAAGUGACACAAGUAGUUUCUCAUGAGAUACAUAAGCUCUUGAGUUCCUUUGCAACAAAUCCCGCUGCACAGUGGAAAGAUAAGGAUUGUGCAAUUUACUUGGUCCUGUCUCUGGCUACUAAUAAGAAGGGUGCGUAUGUGCGUACAGAUUUUUUUGAUGUUCAAAGCUUCUUUGCAAACUUUAUAAUCCCCGAGUUGCAAAGCCCCGAUGUCAACAGUUAUCCAAUGCUAAAGGCAGGGUCCUUGAAGUUCUUAACAAUGUUCCGUAGUCAUCUACCAAAGCCCUUUGCAAUGCAGCUGUUCCCGGAGCUGGUCCGGUUCCUUCAAGCUGAGUCGAAGGUGGUGCACUCAUAUGCUGCUAUGUACAUAGAGAAGCUCUUGCUACUCAAGGACGAAGGUGGAAGGAGCAGGUAUGUCGGUAGUGAUAUAAGUCCAUUUUUGCUCCAGUUGAUGACGUCUCUGUUUGAUGCACUGAAUCUUAGUGAAUCUGAAGAGAAUCAAUAUAUUAUCAAGUGCAUAAUGCGGGUUCUUGGUGUUGCGGAAAUCACUCGGGAGGUUGUUGACCUUUGCUUGGGAGGCUUGACCACUGUUUUCAGUAGAAAUCCUAAGAACCCUACAUUUAAUCACUACAUCUUUGAGUCCGUGGCUGUGCUUGUCCGAAGGGCAUGUGAACGUGAUAUUUCGCUAAUUACUGAAUUUGACUCGAGUCUUUUCCCAAGGCUGAAGAUGAUUUUGGCGGAUGAUGUUCGCGAGUUCAUACCUUAUGCGUUUCAGCUUCUGGCUCAGCUCGUUGAGCUCAACAUACAACCUAUUUCACCGGACUAUAUGGAGAUGUUCUUGCUUCUCAUCGCACCUAAUCCUACUAAUUCGUGGAGGAGUAGCCACGAAGUCCCAGCACUGGUGCGUUUGCUUCAGGCUUUCCUGCAGAAAGCACCUCAUGAGGUUACUCAAAAGAAUCUGUUGGGUCAAGUGUUGGGGGUGUUCGACAAGUUGGUUAAAACUCCUAGCACAGUAGAGCAAGGCUGUUAUGUGCUCAACACUGUUAUUGAGUAUAUGGAGUACGGUGUGAUUGCACCAUACAUGACGUUUGUAUGGAGUUCUCUGUUCACACACCUUGAGCAGAAAAAGUCUGUCAAGCUCCAGAAAUGUCUAGUAAUGUUCAUAUCCCUCUUCUUGGUGAAGCACGGACCAGCUAAUCUAGUCGAAACUAUGAAUGCUGUUCAACGCAACAUUUUCAUUGCGAUCGUGGACCGUUUCUGGAUUCCAGACCUUAAGCUGAUCAUGGGAACUAUGGAGGUAAAGUUAACCGCAGUUGCCGCGACAAGACUCAUAUGUGAGACUCCAGCCCUUCUCGAUCCAGCAGCUUCUAAGUUAUGGGGGGGAAUGGUGAAUAGUAUAGUGACUCUUGUUUCAAGGCCUGAGCAGGAAAGAGCCAUCGAUGAACCUGAGAUGCCAGAAAUAUCAGAGAACGUUGGAUACACAGCUGCUACCUUUGUGAAUCUUUACAAUGUUGGGAGAAGAGAAGUGGAUCCUCUCCAAGACAUUACAGAUCCAAAGCAGCUCUUCGUGACUUCUCUGGCCAUGCUUUCUGCUUCUCAUCCUGGUAGAUACCCUUGGGUUAUUCGUUAUAAUCUCGAAAAAGCAAAUCAAGAUGCAUUGAUCAAGCUUUGCACUGCUUACAACUGUGCAAUUGUUUGAAAGUAAGUGGGUUUCCUCUACUUUUGAGAAUGUUUUAAAAUGUGAUUGUAACAGGAGAGAUUGGUGUGAGGAGAAAAGAGGAGGAAAUACACAACAACGUUGCAUUGCGUCUGCGAAGAAAAGUGGUAGUAAAAUCAUGUUUUCUUUCUGUCUUCAUUCGGGUGUUUCAUAUCAUUCGGAGUCAGAGAGCAUCAUUCAUGCAUAACUUAAAUUUCUUUGUUUGGUUUUGAAGUUUUCUUCAUGGGGGUGGGUUGUUUUUUUUUUUUUUUUUUUAUCUCUUGUAUUGUGUUACAAUUUACAAUGUGUUUAUUUAUGUCUUUGUCUGCUGGUCACUUUUUUUCUUUUUUUAUUUGGGAAAAUUAUCAUUUAAAUCUCCAACUUUCCAAUUUGGUUGGAGAAAGUCACGAAACUUUGCCUUGGACCAUUUAAAUCAUCAAUUUAGCUUAAUUUAGCUUGAAUAACCAUUUUAUACUUUAAUUUAAUUUGAUUAAACUAAAUUAAAGACAACGUUAAUUCGGAUAACAGAUUGAUUUAACAUAGUUAAUGAGACAUAUUUUGAUUGUUUGAUGUGUUAAAAUGAUACAUACUUUGAUUGUUUUGUUACCACCACCACAACCAAAAUGAUUAUAUCAAACCAUCAUCUACAAACUGAUCAAAGAAGCUAAUUUUUUUUUGCAUCCAGAGUCACAAGGUCCCGCUCAACCUUUUUAUUUCAUAUGUUAGUGUAAUUACUUCCUGUAAAAAUGUUUUUAUGUUGUUACUUUCUCUUUGUUCCAAAUAUAAAAGUUACUUUCUUUUGCUUCAAAUUUUAUUCCCUUUUCUAUGUGGUUUUUCGCUAUUAAUUUAACAUGUCAAUCUAUGUAUCAUGGAUGCUGAAAAGUGUCCAUAUAUAUAUAUUGGAACACAAAUGCCCAUAUAUUAUGUAUCAGUUUAUGGGACUUAAAUCCAUAACCAAAACGUUAUUUAUUAAUGAUGCAAGUAAUAGUUAUUUAUAUUAAAAAAGAUGUUGCCAUUUUUCUUGGAUUAUAUUUUGUUUCAUUAAUGUUUUUCCCUAAACAAGAAAACAAUACACAAUCGUGCAAGUUGACACAUAUUCUAUCUACAACCACUUAAAUAAAUAUGACAUGAAUACUAGAAAUGAUGAAUGACUUAUAGCUAAAUAUGACAUGUACAGUUAUAUUUAAUGUUUAUGCAUAUUUUUAGUAAUUUUUUAGAAUAUUAUAGUAAAUGAUACAUUAUCAUUAAAGUAAAUCUAUUCAAAUAUGACACUGAAUAAUAUAAUAAUAAUAAUAUAAUAAUAUUUUACAAAUUUUGAAAUAUUAUUUAUUUGUGUUUUAUAAUUAUACACAUUACUUAAAUAGAUUUUCAAUUAUUUUUAAAUUCCUAAAAAAAUUAUAACUUUUUAAUCCUAAUAUCAUUAGUUUAUUUUAUAUAUCUAAAACUUUUAUAAAGAUUUUUUAGUUUUACUUUUUGAUAAUUAUACAAGUUAUAUAUCAAAUUUUGUUUUAUUAAUUUAUACAAGUUGAUUUAAUAUAUUUUAUCCAAAAGAAAUAGAUAAAAAACCUAUCUAAGAUUAUAACUGUGAAUAUACACAUAUUUAUUCUUAAAUAUAAUUUAAAAUAAACAAAAUUAUUUAUUUAUCUUAAUUAAAUACUCAAUUAAAUCGAAUUUAAAAUAUGGAUAAGAAAAUAAUAAAAUCUAAAAUAAUAAUUAAAAUUUUAUUUUAAAUUUAAUUUUAAUUUAAUUAAUUUAAUUUUAAUUUUUUUAUUACUGCACAUGGUUCUGGAAAAUAACUAUUUUAUUUUAGAAAGAUUAUCUUAUAAGUUAUUAGUUUAUAAGAAUCUAAUAAUAGAUCCAUUCUAGAACAAAAAUAGUUUAAUAAAAAUAAAUUCGACUGGUUUUGACCAAAAAUAAAUAAAUAAUUCCCUUUGAGUUUUGGUCAGAUAGUUUUGUUUUUGUAAUCUUCUGGUCAGAUAGUUUUGAACAUAAAUAAGACAAACUCAACUCAAAACUUAGAUUGGUCAUCUUUUUGAGCAACUUAAUUCAAAUUAGAAAUUAGGACCAGACCCAGUUGGAGUUUAUGUUACAAAGGAAAAGAAACAGAAAAACAAAGAACGCGGUAGGGUUUUGAUAUCCGAAAGAACUCCGUGGAGAUUCUUCGGUUUUUCCUUCGAAACGAUAGCUCUGGCGAGCCCGAAGGAGUCUGAUCGGAUCCAGACUUUUGUGUAUCCAAGAUGAAUCGCGUGGGAUAAGGCCGGACGUAUCGCCAAUCCCUCCGCGAGGAGUGGUGAUUUCACAUCUGAUUGAUCUUGAAAACCAUGCUUGGCAUCAAGGCGCUGUCUCCUUUGUUGAUGGAUUCCAGGCAGCGUCCGUGUUACAAAGAACGGUCCCUAUACAAAGAUCGUAUCGGAGCUGUUGACUGAUCGUUUGUAGGUUUUGAGUCUGAUUGCGCCGAUGACCAUUCCUUAGCACUUGCUACCGCCUUUGUGAUCACCAUCAAAGGAGAUGUGUGUCUAGAUUUGAAUAGGAGUUGGUUGCGAGCGUUCCAAAUUAUCCAGAUUAUCCAGGAGAAGAUGUCGCCAGUGAUACCCGUUGGUGGUAAGCAACUCCACUUUGCCGAUUCUUUUAGAGCUUCCAGGAAGGAAGAACAUGUCAUAGAGCAGAAGGGCGUGAAGAGAGGAGCUAGGUCCCAGACCUGAGAGGCGAAGGAGCGAUGGAGAAAGAGGUGAUCAAUAGAUUUGGUUCUUCCGCAGAAAGCGCAGCUCGUAUUUUGGAUCACUCCGCGUUUUUGAAGAUUGUCUCCGCGUCUUAGAUUGGUCAUCUUUAGUUACAUUUUAAAAGUUUAAUUGUUUCUUUGUUUGUUGCCGAGUUUUGUCCAAAUAACUUUUCCGAUUGUAACUGUUCGGAUCCUGGGUUUAAUUUGAGGUAACUUGUCGUUAGCUGUGGACUCAUAAUGAUAAUGGGCAAUUUUUAUAUACUAAUUUCAACUUGUCUUGAUAUAUUUGACCAAUGUGUUUGAUUGUUUCACAAGCGACAAACUAAACAGUUUAAAUUUGCUAAAUCAAAAUGGUUAUAUAAUUAAAUUCUUCUUUUUAACAUGCGGUUGAAAUUACUCUUUUUGGUUACAAUGAUUACCUUAUUUUAUUUCAUAGUGUCUAGUGAUGAAACCAUGGUUCUAUGUUAUUUUAUUUCAAAUGGUAUAUAAAAAUCAUGAGCUACAUGUUCCAACAAUUAUAUAUUUAAUAUAAGCACAUAAAUUAGUGUGUAUAUAUGCUUAGCAAGACGACAAAAGCUUAGAACCAAAAAAAGCUGAGAAUAGUGUUAAAUCCAAAUAAUUAGAUAACAUGACCAAUUAGCUUACAAAGGAUCAUUGUUUUACUGUAAAAGUACCAGCUAGCAGCUACUAUCUUUUUUUUUUUUGUCAUUUGGUAUUAUUACUAUAAACAAGUUCAUAUGAUACAAAAUGCCCAAAAAAGGGUAAACACUUAAGACUAGGCCCAAAGAGAUGGGCUACAAGUAAACAUCACAAAGCCUAAAAAGGCCCAACUAACUAAGAUUGCACUCUGGAGGAGGAAACGCCAUUUGUUGAGCCCACGUGCUCGAACCAGAGAAAGAAGGAGACACGCGUCGACCGAGGAACCCGCUUCCAACCUCCGCCGCAACGGAGCUUCAAGCCGGAACUCUGUACCACCGGAGACCAAUCUCAUCAGAGCAGAGCAACUACCAGCAUAACUCACCGCGACCGAGUGAACCACCGAGACAAUCCUUUCGCCGAUUGAAAAACGUAUGAUUUAACUAAAACCAACACGAUCUUAACAAGAGGGUUUGGUUGAAAGAUAUUCGCAUCAACCGAAACAGAACCAUAUAAGUGAGGAUCAAAAAAAAAAAAAAAGGAAAACUGGAAAGAUCCGGUGAAAAGCUAGCCGUUUUCAUCUAAGAGGAUCGAUGACAAACGCUAGAGGCAGUAGCCGGCCAAGCGGCGCUCAGGUAGCCACCGCUUGCCAGAGUCAAAGCCCGACGACGCGAGAGACGAUUGCCGGAGAAACACAUCCGGCGAACUGAAGAGUCGAACCCUCUCUCUCUGAAAGAUAAGAAAGAGAUCACUAGCAGCUUCUAUCUAAAUACGAACAUAGAGUAAAUGUGGGUAAUUUCACUAUCUCUGUGAAACAUAGAGUAAGAAUACAUCUUUAAGAAUAUAUCAGCACUUAGUCAAAAUAAAGAUUAUAUCAGCACAUGCAGAGUUAUAUACAUAUAUAUAUAUAUAUGAUAUUUAAAAACAAGUUUGGUUCGGUUUGAUUUUAGAUAAAAUUACUAUUUAAAAUUACAAAAUAGUAAUUUUUUAUUUAAUACUGUAAGCUACAACAUUGUAAAAAUAUUAAUUUGAACAUUUUAAUUUAGUUAAUUUUUAUUAUUAUUAUUUUAUUUUAUAUUAUUAAAAUUAGGUCAUUCAAUUAGUGUUAUCUAAUAUAUAAAUUUAUAUUUUAUUUAGAUUAUAUUAUAAUCAACUAAAUUCGGAAAUAUCAAUUUAUGUUUAAUUUUUAUUUGCUUAUAAAUUUCCCCUGCCGUAAAUAUAAACACUAAUAAGCAUGAAAAUAAACACAACGUUUUUAACAUGGAUGACAAUGAGACCGAAAACCAUUGACUUAGUUUUAGUUUAAAGUACCAUUGAAUUAAAAGCGUUUUCACUUUAAAGAGGAUUUUAAUAGUGUGUAAAAAAGUUAAGGUAAAAAACAGCAAGAGGGAUGUCUCCAUAUCAAAGUGGUUGCGAGUUGCGACGAGUCCUAGUUUGGUAUGCCAAAUUUGCUCAAAUUAGAGGUAUGUGUUCGAUUAUAUAUUUUAUUUAAUUUAAAUUCAUAUAAAACUUAAUAAAAUUAAUGAUUCACAAAUUUACAAAAUGAAUUUUAAUGAGUAUUUGUAAAUUCGUAAGUCUUUUCAGAUUUAUGUCUUUGCUGUUAAUAUGCAAAUAUUUUAAACUUCAUUAAAAUAUAUUGUGAAAUCAUAUCCAUAACUAUCUAAAUCAGUAGAAUUGAAUAAUACCGAUUUUAAAUAGUAUUUACUAAAUGAAUAAUAGAUAACUUUUAACAAUUUUUAAAAAAAAAUUAUUAAUAAAUAACACAAUUUUCUGGAUUCAAAUUCAUUAAAAUACAAUAGUUAAUAACUCCCAUUUAUAUUUUCUAUGUUAGUUUUGUUGAAAGCCUUGCUCAUAUAAAUAAACAGUUAAGUUCUUUUUUCAAUAGUAUGUCCUUUGUCUUACAAAAGUCCCUGUAUAUAUGUAUAUAUCUACCUAAAGUGUCUAUACUUACUUAACAAAACAACCCGAUUAAUGAAUUAAGUUUUCUAAGCAAAAUUUGUUUUUUUUUUCUUUUGGGUCAAACAACUUUGUUAGGUAAUCAGAGCCGUGCGAAGGUUUAAUGGGGCCUGAGGCGAAUAUAAAAAUGGGGCCCCUUUAUAAAUUUUUUUUAUCAUAGUACAAUAUAUAUUUGAAAAAAAAAUAUUAAGACAAUAACUUUAAAAAAUUAAGACAAAAUUUUUCUUCCCUCUUUUUCAAUAAACUCUUCAGUAACAUCAUCUUCAACCUCCUUAUCUUCUUCAUUGACAUCCUCAUCAUUUAUUUCAUUCUCAUCUUCCAUUGGAUCAUCAAACUCAUCACCACUUCUACCGGAUUCAUUAAGAUUUGCUGAUUUUACAAGAAAUCUGUCCAUAGAACCUUGCAUUGAUUUCACCAAUGCAUCAACUCUGUCUUUUUUUUGUCUUUUCUUGGCUCCUGAUGCACAUGAUCUCGUUGGAGGCAUAUUUUCUGAAAUUAAUAAUUAAACUUAAAUCAACAAAGACUGAAAACUAAAAAAAUAAAAAAAUAAAAAAAUUCACCACUUUAACAAAACUGAUGAUAAUAUAAGAGACACCUGUAGCACAGGAUUGAGAACCAAGAAAGAAGACGUGUGUGCUUGCUUGAGAAAGAUUGAUGUGAACAUUGCACGUAGAAUACUUAGGAAUAUAUACGAACCAAAUAUAUUAAGUAUAACUGCACUUUUUCCUUUUUAUUUAGGAGUUUGACAUAUAAAAUAUAUAUUCUUUUUUUCAAUUUGGAAAAUUGACAAUAAAAUAAAAUACUCAUUUUUUUAAAAAGCAAUGUAGAUAAUUGAACUUGUAUUGAAUAAUAAAUGGCAAACUUAAACCAAUAUACUACUAAUAAUUUUUGGAAAUUUGGAGCUCUAAAAAAACUAUAUAUUUUGGGGGCCCUAGGCGAAGGCCUUUUUGGAUACACUUGAAGCACGGCUCUGUAGGUAAUGUUGGUGUGUGUACAGAUUAUUGAGAUGAGAGUGAUUGAUGCCUUAUUUACCGAUCUGAUGAGCCCAUUGCUUGCAGGAUAAGAGAAUAAUUUACGAAAUGGGACAAUUUUCCGUUAACCCAAACAGUUUGGGCCAAUAAGAGAUCCAAUCAUAUGUGUCCACUCUGUCCUAUGGCUCAUCGGUACUUGUAAAUAGGGAUGGGUGUUCGGAUAUCCGUUCGGGUUCGGAUCGGGUAUUUCGGAUAUAACCGAAAAAACAAAAGCAUUUGAUAAUUUUUUUUUGAACUACUGAUUAAAAAAAAAUUAAAACCAUAUAAUUUUUGCAAAACAAAAACUGUUCAUUCUCAUGCUUUUGUUCUGUAAUAUGAUUCAGAGUAACAAGGAAAGCUCCAUAUGAAGAACGGCAUGAUGGUUCGAGGUGAUUCCGGUUGUUACAUUAACGUUUAUGUGGUUAUCGUUGAUGACAUCAACAACUAAUGUCUCCGACAAAUCUUACAUAGAUUGUGAGAAGAACAAUAUUUUAAGAAGAAAGAUCUUAUAGGGAGAGAAGAUGAGAAAUGAGAGAUGCAGAUGGUGCUUUAAUCUCCCACGUUUAAGAAAAAGAUACAUAUUUAUAUAUAUGUGCACAUGUUUAGGUUAGAAAAAAUAGUGAUUUGGUAUUGAUUUUACAAAAUCUUAAUUAAACUAAAACGUGUUAAGAGAAACCAGUCAUUACAUAUUGGAUGAAAGCUGUAGAUUUGGGUUAAAGUAUACAUAUGUUCGGAUGACUUCGGAUAGUACUUCGGGUUUCAGAUAUACCCGAUCGGAUUCGGGUAUCCAAACUUGUUUAAUACAAUGCCCCUUCGAGUAUUUUGCUAUUUCGGUUCGGAUUCGAGUUUGAUUUUUUUGGGUCGGAUUGGAAUUCAGGUUCGGGUAUCGGAUAAGAUGCCAACCCUACUUGUAGGGGUAAAAUGUGGAUACCUGACCUAAGUGGGACCCAUCAUCAUAUCCCUUCAUUAUAUAUUCCUUUUGUCUUUCAACUAAAUUCCUUUUUGUUAACAAACUGAAUGAUUAUCAGGUUUUUACUUGGGUGAAUUUGCCAUCUAACCAAGUUUGGAGUCAAAAUUAAGUAAAUAGCUUUGAUUUUGACGUUAUUAAAUUGAUAACAUUUCAUACACCUUUUAUCCGGUUAUGUCUUUAUCCUUUCUAAGUUACCGAUGACAGUGGGACCAAAGAUUAACGUCGACGAGAGCAGAGGUCCAAGAGAAAUUGAGAUUUAAUAUGGUCCACAACUAUUCUAAGUAAGUGUUCUAUUCCAUUUAUAAAAGUAAUACGUCAGAUAGAACAAACAGAACAUCUUCGUACGAAACAGAAUCAUAAACUCUAAACCUAACCUGCAGACCUAAAUACUAAACCAUAAUCUCGAAGCUCUAAACCCAAGCCCAAUUAAUUUAAAGUUACAAUAUUUUAAAGAAAAUAGUAAAAAAUAAUAAAUAUAUAAAUUUUGAACUAUUAUUCUAUACUAUCUAACAUGGAAUGAAGACUACUCUUGUAAUUCAACCCCAACCCACCUCCAACUCUAAACCCAACACACCUCCAAAAUUGAAAUACUAAAUUGAAAUACUAAACCCUAAACUUGAAUUCCUAAACCCAAAUCUAAAUGUAAAAUAUUUUAGAUUAAAUUAAAAUAUGAAAAUAAUAUAUAAUAUUUUGUACUAUCACCUAUACUAUAUAAAAUGGAAAGGAAAAUAGACUUGAGAGGAAGUACUACACCCUAAACUCUAAUCACUAAAUCCUAACCACUCAAUAAUUAACCAUAUAACAAUUCCACCAUAAACCCCUAUAUACUUAACCUUAAACCAUAAUCACUAAACCCUAAA
rnacentral:lncRNA from 1 species